rnacentral:rRNA from 1 species
UACAGAGGUCUCAAGCGUUGUUCGGAUUCAUUGGGCGUAAAGGGUGCGUAGGUGGCGGGGCAAGUCAGGUGUGAAAUCUCGGGGCUCAACCCCGAAACUGCACUUGAUACUGCCUGGCUGGAGUACUGGAGAGGAGAUUGGAAUUUACGGUGUAGCAGUGAAAAUGCGUAGAUAUCGUAAGGAAGACCAGUGGCGAAGGCGAAUCUCUGGACAGUUACUGACACUGAGCACGAAGGCCAGGGGAGCAAACGGG